rnacentral:rRNA from 1 species
GAUGAACGCUAGCGGCAGGCUUAAUACAUGCAAGUCGUGGGGCAGCAGGUCUGUAGCAAUACAGAUGCUGGCGACCGGCAAACGGGUGCGGAACACGUACACAACCUUCGUUUAAGUGGGGAAUAGCCCAGAGAAAUUUGGAUUAAUACCCCGUAACAUAAUGAAAAGGCAUCUUUUUAUUAUUAUAGUAGCAAUACGCUUAAUGAUGGGUGUGCGUCUGAUUAGGUAGUUGGCGGAGUAAUAGCCCACCAAGCCUACGAUCAGUAACUGGUGGGAGGGCACGACCAGUCACACGGGCACUGAGACACGGGCCCGACUCCUACGGGAGGCAGCAGUAAGGAAUAUUGGGCAAUGGACGCAAGUCUGACCCAGCCAUGCCGCGUGGAGGAUGAAGGUCCUCUGGAUUGUAAACUUCUUUUAUCUGGGAAGAAAUCCAUCUUUUCUUGGGUGGUUGACGGUACCAGAUGAAUAAGCACCGGCUAACUCCGUGCCAGCAGCCGCCGUAACAC